UACGUAGGGUGCGAGCGUUGUCCGAAAUUAUUGGGCGUAAAGGGCUCGUAGGCGGUUUGUCGCGUCGGGAGUGAAAAUCCAGGGCUUAACUCUGGACUGGCUUUCGAUACGGGCAGACUAGAGGUAUGCAGGGGAGAACGGAAUUCCUGGUGUAGCGGUGAAAUGCGCAGAUAUCAGGAGGAACACCGGUGGCGAAGGCGGUUCUCUGGGCAUUACCUGACGCUGAGGAGCGAAAGUGUGGGGAGCGAACAGG
rnacentral:rRNA from 1 species